GGGGGCGAAUUGGAUUCGACGAGAGUGCUGACGGCACCAGUCGCAGGUCGAGGUCGCUGGACCCUCGUUAAACACUGGCAAAAACCUAAAUGACAAUAGCGUAAGCUAUGCCAUGGCUGCUUAAUUAGCCGCCCGUUCUCAAUGUCCGCUCCCACCGGGUGUUGAUGGACGCAACAUGUGGGAUGCUCAUCUGACCGGGACGCUGGGUCAGAUGUUAAGACAUACAGUGUCUGGUCUUCCGGCCCCGGUCUUGGAGGUCACCGGAAGAUGAGAAACAAACCAAGGCUAAGCCUGUAGUGACUUUGCUCGAUCACCUUCGGACGCGGGUUCGAUUCCCGCCGCCUCCACAA
rnacentral:tmRNA from 1 species